UACGUAGGGUGCGAGCGUUGUCCGGAAUUAUUGGGCGUAAAGAGCUCGUAGGCGGCUCGGUAAGUCAGGUGUGAAAACUCUAGGCUCAACCUAGAGACGCCACCUGAUACUGCCGUGGCUAGAGUCCGGUAGGGGAGCAUGGAAUUCCUGGUGUAGCGGUGAAAUGCGCAGAUAUCAGGAGGAACACCAGUGGCGAAGGCGGUGCUCUGGGCCGGAACUGACGCUGAGGAGCGAAAGCGUGGGGAGCAAACAGG
rnacentral:rRNA from 1 species